rnacentral:rRNA from 1 species
CUUGAAGUAGGGGAUAACACUUGGAAACAGGUGCUAAUACCGUAUAACAACCAAAACCACCUGCCUUUGGUUUAAAAGACGGCUUCGGCUGUCACUUUAGGAUGGACCCGCGGCGCAUUAGCUUGUUGGUAAGGUAACGGCUUACCAAGGCGAUGAUACGUAGCCGACCUGAGAGGGUAAUCGGCCACAUUGGGACUGAGACACGGCCCAAACUCCUACGGGAGGCAGCAGUAGGGAAUCUUCCACAAUGGACGAAAGUCUGAUGGAGCAACGCCGCGUGAGUGAUGAAUGGUUUCGGCUCGUAAAACUCUGUUGUUGGAGAAGAACAGGUGUCAGAGUGACUGUUGACAUCUUGACGGUAUCCAACCAGAAAGCCACGGCUAACUACGUGCCAGCAGCCGCGGUAAUACGUAGGUGGCAAGCGUUGUCCGGAUUUAUUGGGCGUAAAGCGAGCGCAGGCGGUUUUUUAGGUCUGAUGUGAAAGCCUUCGGCUUAACCGGAGAAGUGCAUCGGAAACCGGGAGACUUGAGUGCAGAAGAGGACAGUGGAACUCCAUGUGUAGCGGUGAAAUGCGUAGAUAUAUGGAAGAACACC